CGCGUAGACGGCUGUCUAAGUCUGGAGUGAAAGUCCUGCUUUCAAGGUGGGAAUUGCUUUGGAGACUGGAUGGCUUGAGUGCGGAAGAGGUAAGUGGGAUUCCCAGUGUAGCGGUGAAAUGCGUAGAGAUUGGGAAGAACACCAGUGGCGAAGGCGACUUACUGGGCCGUAACUGACGUUGAUGCGCGAAAGCGUGGGGAGCGAACA
rnacentral:rRNA from 1 species